rnacentral:rRNA from 1 species
AUUGAACGCUGGCGGCAUGCUUUACACAUGCAAGUCGAACGGUAACAGGCCGCAAGGUGCUGACGAGUGGCGAACGGGUGAGUAAUGCAUCGGAACGUGCCCAGUCGUGGGGGAUAACGCAGCGAAAGCUGUGCUAAUACCGCAUACGAUCUAUGGAUGAAAGCGGGGGACCGUAAGGCCUCGCGCGAUUGGAGCGGCCGAUGUCAGAUUAGGUAGUUGGUGGGGUAAAGGCCCACCAAGCCAACGAUCUGUAGCUGGUCUGAGAGGACGACCAGCCACACUGGGACUGAGACACGGCCCAGACUCCUACGGGAGGCAGCAGUGGGGAAUUUUGGACAAUGGGCGCAAGCCUGAUCCAGCAAUGCCGCGUGCAGGAAGAAGGCCUUCGGGUUGUAAACUGCUUUUGUACGGAACGAAACGGCUCUGGUUAAUACCCGGGGCUAAUGACGGUACCGUAAGAAUAAGCACCGGCUAACUACGUGCCAGCAGCCGCGGUAACAC